rnacentral:SRP_RNA from 1 species
AAUCGGGUAAGUCUUAUACGGCCAGCUCCCAAUGAAUCCCCCCAGGGCAGGAAUGCAGCAAGGGUGUUUGGUUGUAGCGGCGCGAUAUAAACAGCUUACCCU